UAUAUACUCCCUCCGUCCAGAAAUACUUGUCAUCAAAAUGGAUAAAAGGGAUGUAUCUAGAUGUAUUUUAGUUUUAGAUACAUCCCUUUUUGUCCAUUUUGAUGACAAGUAUUUUCAGACGGAGGGAGUAUAAU
rnacentral:pre_miRNA from 1 species